AUGAACGCUGGCGGCGUGCCUAAUACAUGCAAGUCGAGCGAACAGACGAGGAGCUUGCUCCUCUGACGUUAGCGGCGGACGGGUGAGUAACACGUGGAUAACCUACCUAUAAGACUGGGAUAACUUCGGGAAACCGGAGCUAAUACCGGAUAAUAUAUUGAACCGCAUGGUUCAAUAGUGAAAGACGGUUUUGCUGUCACUUAUAGAUGGAUCCGCGCCGCAUUAGCUAGUUGGUAAGGUAACGGCUUACCAAGGCGACGAUGCGUAGCCGACCUGAGAGGGUGAUCGGCCACACUGGAACUGAGACACGGUCCAGACUCCUACGGGAGGCAGCAGUAGGGAAUCUUCCGCAAUGGGCGAAAGCCUGACGGAGCAACGCCGCGUGAGUGAAGAAGGUCUUCGGGUCGUAAAACUCUGUUAUUAGGGAAGAACAAAUGUGUAAGUAACUAUGCACGUCUUGACGGUACCUAAUCAGAAAGCCACGGCUAACUACGUG
rnacentral:rRNA from 1 species